CCUGUGGAAGGAUGUACUGAAGUGAGGUGCGAUUUCUUGUGCGACGUACUUUGCUCAUUUACGUUUUGUGCCGUGUUCCUUCUUCCUCAGUUAUGGAAUGAUUUAUCCUAGCAAAUUGUUGAGUUACAGGUGUGUGCGCUAUUUAUCAACGACUACCUGCUAGCCUCGUCAACAAUCUUCAAAGUGAGCGACGGAAAGAAAACGUUUUCCAGUUUUAAAAUAUUAAGCCCCCGGUGAGGACGUCAUUACUUAACAGAAGCCGGUUCAACACGCGCAGCUCCUGUUCAUGACGUCAUCACGAAACUGAAGCCAGCUGAACACGCGCAGCACGGAUGGUACCCCGAGCGCGGUAGGAGGAAGGAAGAACGAGAGGAGGAAGAACGGUAAAUUUGGAAGGGGGUAAGCGUUCUGCCGUCUACACAGCGGGAGUAUCCCAAAACACAUGUGGGAAGGGAGAGGGAUAUUGUUCAAUAAACAGCAU